UACGAGGGGGGCGAGCGUUGUUCGGAAUUAUUGGGCGUAAAGGGUGCGUAGGCGGUUCCGCAAGUCCUGUGUGAAAUCUUCGGGCUCAACUCGAAGUCUGCACGGGAAACUGCGGGGCUUGAGUGUGGGAGAGGAGAGUGGAAUUCCCAGUGUAGAGGUGAAAUUCGUAGAUAUUGGGAAGAACACCGGUGGCGAAGGCGGCUCUCUGGACCACAACUGACGCUGAGGCGCGAAAGCGUGGGGAGCAAACAGGG
rnacentral:rRNA from 1 species